GUCAAACCUGUGUCAAGCGUCCGGUUUAUUUUCUCGCUUUUAUUUUCCUUUUUUGAGAUGGGAUUUCAUCGACGUUUGGCAGUAAAGCCUGAGGAACUUAUCAUCAUAGACGACAAGGACUCUGCUAUACUCCAUUGCACAAUGACGUCACGCACGAAUUUUGACAGGUAGUGGUCCUGUUGUUUACAGACGAUUACAUUUUAAUUUUGAUAUAAUUUUAUCAUUCUUUGGAUUAUCUGAUCGAUUAUUACUUAAACAUAUCGAUAAUUACCAAUAUUUGAAUGCGGAAUUUACGAAAUGUCUUCAACAUCGUGAAAUAUGCAGAUUUAAUUUGGGUCAAAAAAAAUUCUAAGUCCGAAACGUAAACAACAGGACCAGUACCUGUCAAAAUAGUGAGGUUAGGUUUGCCGCGCGCAAUGACCUAUUUCUUCCACACAUUCGCCGGGUAAGAUUGCUAUCGACGAGGCAAUCGCUAUUGUCCGAAGGCGGAACUGCUUCAGCAGCAACAAAAAUUAUGGCGAACGAUCUACUUCCAGGACCCUCGAAAUUGUGCGGCAAUUCGGAAUCUACACCCACAUUUAACCCAAAUACUCGCCCAAAGAAAGGAUAUUUGAAACAGUGAAAGCGGUAUCGUUGGCGGCCUGGCAGUCAGAGGAAUAGUUUGUAGUGCUGAUGUAGGAGGUGCCAGUAAAUUGAGAGACAAUCCGCUUUAUUUAGUUGCCACAGUGUUGUUAUUUUAUUAUUUAGUGGGCCCUCCUUAGCCGUGCGGUAAGACGCGCGGCUACAAAACAAGACCAU